ensembl:lncRNA
ACUUCACCACAGUGGGAAAAGGGUGGCGACAAAUGGAUUCUGCAUAAUCUUCUUAAUGUGACAACUUUCCAUUUCAAACAGGCAGGCACUGAGACAUCAAAGCAGCCAAGUGCCGCCCUGACGUUGAGCCCACCGAGUGCUGAGUGCCGCGUGCCGCGAGGCUGCUGCUGUUGGCUCUGCGUGAUCAGGAGAGCGGAGAUCAAAGGUGCCCAUUAUGUGCUGAAAUACCUGAAGUUGGAAAACACCACAAGAAAGCCAAGCCAAAACAAACAAAGACCCUGCAGCGGUAAUGCUAUUCCUGAGUCAGAGAGAGAGAGCUGGAUCCAUGCAUCACAAAGGCUUUCUGUGCUCAAUGAAAACAUUCAAAUCUCUUAUGAGAUCCAGGAGGUCCCUCCUGCUUACCGAGGUUUGUUGGUGUUUUAGCUUCCGUUUUCUUGGUUUUGAUUUUGUGUUUCUCUCUGCAGAAGAUUGUUUCAUUACAUUUACUUAGAGCUUUCCCUUGAGAAAAUCUCAUUCAUUCAAAAUAGCAGCUUCCAUUUACUGAGUGUGUACAAUGUGCCAGGUGCUGGUCUUAUUCAUUCCCCCAAAUAGUUAUUCACGAAUGAAUAAAUGCUCUUCUAGACACCGAGUGGUACAAGACUGCCAUGGUCCCUAGCCUUGGAGUCUACUGGGGAUGGCAGAGAUUAAGCAAAUAUUUGCUUGAACAAAGUUGUCAAAUCAUAGCUUAAAGUGUAAAGGUGGACGUUAGAUUACCUCUAAAUUAGGGAUUUCUUUUCAAUGAGGAUUACAGUAGGGAAAGCCAACAGGAGUAGGCAAAGCCAGUAAGAAUUCCUUCAAAACACAAGGAAAGGAGAGACCGCUGCAAUAGGAAAGUGAAUAAAGGUAAUGAAUAACAAUUCACAGAAAUGGGAGUCCAAAUGACUAAAAAAAUCCACGAAAACAUGUUCACAAUGCAAGUUAAAAUUAAAACAAGACAGUGCUUUACAUGCAACAGAAUAGCAACGAUCAGACCAGGGACAGGCUCACAUGUUGAGAAGGCUGUGGGCUAAUGGGAGCCCUGGAGUGUAGACUGCUGCAGCCACCCCAGAGGACUCGGCCCAGUGCAGUGUGUGGGUUGGCCUGGUGCCAGCCGCCCAACUCCUCCUAAGCGUCUUGGAGGAACCCUGAUCCAGACCCAUCGGGAAAUACUCACAGAGGAUUGCCUGUCUGUCUGUUUAUGAUACAACAAGGUGUGGGAACUUGGUGUCCAUUACAGAGUGCUGGAAAUAAAAUAAGGUGGAAACAAACUGUGCAAUAACACAAGGCAGCACCGAGAAGCAAUAAUCUAGCUGUAGGUAGAGCAACACGAUACAUCUUGAAAACUUACGGUCAAGUGAAAACGAAGAAGAAACAGAAUGAGAUUUAACGUCUGAUGUAACUCACAUAAUUUAUGGCAUAUGUAUAUCUACCAAACACCACUACAUCUUUUACAAAGAGAUGUGCAUAUUUAAGGACAUGCAUAUUCAGUGUGUCAAAUACGUUGGAGUUGGCUCCCGCGUGCAUCUAGGAAAUGAGGGUGGGAAUAAGAAAUGAGGGAGCGAGCUAUAUAUCUCUAUCUCCGUAUCAUGUGUACUUAUAUCUAUGUUGACGUCAAUUGAUCUAUAAAUUUUAAUAUAGAAGUAGACAAGGCAUAGUCUGUAUAUUGUGGAAUAUAAACUCAUCUCUGCACUCAAUGUGCACAAACCACCAAAAUAGAAUCUUUGAAAACUACCCCCAAAAUGGCACCAAUAAUGAUGUAACUACAGUGGUGACGAGG